AGAGUUUGAUCCUGGCUCAGAAUCAACGCUGGCGGCGCGCUUAACACAUGCAAGUCGCACGAGAAAGGGGGCAACCCUGAGUAAAGUGGCGUACGGGUGAGUAACACGUGGAUCAUCUACCUUCUAGUGGGGAAUACCUCCGGGAAACUGGAGACAAUACCGCAUAAGCUCGUAAGAGGAAAGCAGCAAUGCGCUGGAAGAGGAGUCCGCGGCUGAUUAGCUAGUUGGUGAGGUAACGGCCCACCAAGGCGAAGAUCGGUAGCCGGCCUGAGAGGGCACACGGCCACACUGGCACUGAAACACGGGCCAGACUCCUACGGGAGGCAGCAGUGGGGAAUCUUGCACAAUGGAGGAAACUCUGAUGCAGCGACGCCGCGUGAGCGAUGAAGCCCUUCGGGGUGUAAAGCUCUUUCGACGGGAACGAUAAUGACGGUACCCGAAGAAGAAGCUGCGGCUAACUACGUGCCAGCAGCCGCGGUAAUACGUAGGCAGCAAGCGUUGUUCGGAAUUACUGGGCGUAAAGAGUGUGUAGGCGGUGCUCUAAGUCUGUUGUGAAAUCUCCCGGCUUAACUGGGAGGGUGCGGCGGAAACUGGAGUGCUCGAGGGUGGGAGAGGAAAGCGGAAUUCCUGGUGUAGCGGUGAAAUGCGUAGAUAUCAGGAGGAACACCUGCGGUGUAGACAGCUUUCUGGACCACUUCUGACGCUGAGACACGAAAGCGUGGGUAGCAAACAGGAUUAGAUACCCUGGUAGUCCACGCCCUAAACGAUGCAUACUUGGUGUGAGCCAUUCAUUUGGUUCGUGCCGGAGCUAACGCGUUAAGUAUGCCGCCUGGGGAGUACGGUCCCAAGGCUGAAACUCAAAGGAAUUGACGGGGGCCCGCACAACCGGGGGAACAUGGGGUUCAAUUCGACGCACCGCG
rnacentral:rRNA from 1 species